rnacentral:rRNA from 1 species
CCAGACUCCUACGGGAGGCAGCAGUGAGGAAUAUUGGUCAAUGGGCGCGAGCCUGAACCAGCCAAGUAGCGUGAAGGAUGACUGCCCUACGGGUUGUAAACUUCUUUUAUAAAGGAAUAAAGUGAGGCACGUGUGCCUUUUUGUAUGUACUUUAUGAAUAAGGAUCGGCUAACUCCGUGCCAGCAGCCGCGGUAAUACGGAGGAUCCGAGCGUUAUCCGGAUUUAUUGGGUUUAAAGGGUGCGUAGGCGGAGUGUCAAGUCAGCGGUAAAAUUUCGGGGCUCAACCCCGUCGUGCCGUUGAAACUGACGCCCUUGAGUGAGUGAGAAGUAAGCGGAAUGCGUGGUGUAGCGGUGAAAUGCUUAGAUAUCGCGAAGAACUCCGAUUGCGAAGGCAGCCUACUAAACUGCCACUGACAUUGAUGCUCGAAAGUGUGGGUAUCAAACAGGAUUAGAUACCCUGGUA